rnacentral:rRNA from 1 species
AUUGAACGCUGGCGGCAGGCCUAACACAUGCAAGUCGAACGGUAACAGGAAGCAGCUUGCUGCUUUGCUGACGAGUGGCGGACGGGUGAGUAAUGUCUGGGAAACUGCCCGAUGGAGGGGGAUAACUACUGGAAACGGUAGCUAAUACCGCAUAACGUCGCAAGACCAAAGAGGGGGACCUUAGGGCCUCUUGCCAUCGGAUGUGCCCAGAUGGGAUUAGCUAGUAGGUGGGGUAACGGCUCACCUAGGCGACGAUCCCUAGCUGGUCUGAGAGGAUGACCAGCCACACUGGAACUGAGACACGGUCCAGACUCCUACGGGAGGCAGCAGUGGGGAAUAUUGCACAAUGGGCGCAAGCCUGAUGCAGCCAUGCCGCGUGUAUGAAGAAGGCCUUCGGGUUGUAAAGUACUUUCAGUGGGGAGGAAGGGAGUAAAGUUAAUACCUUUGCUCAUUGACGUUACCCGCAGAAGAAGCACCGGCUAACUCCGUG